AGGAUAAACGCUGGCGGCGUGCCUAACACAUGCAAGUCGAACGUCUCUUUCUUCGGGAAGAGGAGUGGCGGACGGGUGAGGAACACGUGGGAACCUGCCCUUUAGUGAGGAAUACCGGCGAGAAAUCGCCGACAAGACCGCAUAGCCCUCUUUGAUGAGAGUCAAAGAAGGAAAGCUUCGCAAGAGGCGCUAGAGGAGGGGCCUGCGUCCGAUUAGCUAGUUGGUGGGGUAAGAGCCUACCAAGGCGUCGAUCGGUAGCUGGUCUGAGAGGACGAUCAGCCACACUGGGAUUGAGAACGGCCCAGACUCCUACGGGGGCAGCAGUGAGGAAUUUUCGGCAAUGGGGGAAACCCUGACCGAGCAACGCCGCGUGCAGGAAGACGGCCUUCGGUUGUAAACUGCUUUCUUUGGGAAGAGAACGGACGGUACCAGAGGAAUCAGCCCGGCUCACUACGUGCCAGCAGCCGC
rnacentral:rRNA from 1 species